ACAGCAACAGACAAAACUUUAUUCAGACACACUGAUGAUGACGGAACAAACUGGUUCAAACGCCGUGACUGACUUUUCUUCCAAUCAAAAUCAUUCUGAGUCUGUUUCUGGUCAGCUGAUUGGUUGUUCACUCUGAGGUCAUAAAGACAGCACCAACGGAGCUCUGACACUACGAGUCACCAUGACAACAGGUAGAUCAGACUCAACAUGGUAGUGUGGUUUCUGUUGUUGCUGUCUCGUAGCUGAGGCUGCUGUUGUUUCUGUUUGGUUGCUGUGUGGUGACUGUGUAGUUGUUGUGUGGUUGCUGUUGUUGCUAUGUAGUUGCAGUUGUUGAUGCCUGGUUGUUGUGUGAGUACUGUGGGGUUACUGCUGUUGCUGUGUGGUUGCUAAAGUUGCUGUGUGGUUGCUGAAGUUGCUGUGUGGUUGCUAAAGUUGCUGUGUGGUUGCUAAAGUUGCUGUGUGGUUGCUGAAGUUGCUGUGUGGUUGCUGAAGUUGCUGUGUGGUUGCUGAAGUUGCUGUGUGGUUGCUGAAGUUGCUGUGUGGUUGCUGAAGUUGCUGUGUGGUUGCUAAAGUUGCUGUGUGGUUGCUAAAGUUGCUGUGUGGUUGCUGAAGUUGCUGUGUGGUUGCUGAAGUUGCUGUGUGGUUGCUGAAGUUGCUGUGUGGUUGCUAAAGUUGCUGUGUGGUUGCUGAAGUUGCUGUGUGGUUGCUGAAGUUGCUGUGAGGUUGCUGAAGUUGCUGUGUGGUUGCUGAAGUGCUGUGUGGUUGCUGAAGUUGCUGUGAGGUUGCUGAAGUUGCUGUGUGGUUGCUGAAGUUGCUGUGUGGUUGCUGAAGUUGCUGUGAGGUUGCUGAAGUUGCUGUGUGGUUGCUGAAGUGCUGUGUGGUUGCUGAAGUUGCUGUGAGGUUGCUGAAGUUGCUGUGUGGUUGCUGAAGUUGCUGUGUGGUUGCUGAAGUUGCUGUGAGGUUGCUAAAGUUGCUGUGUGGUUGCUGAAGUUGCUGUGUGGUUGCUGAAGUUGCUGUGAGGUUGCCAUCGUUGCCUCUCACCUGAAGCUCUACUUGCUGUGGCUCUGAUGCUGCUGCUGCUGCUGAGCCUGAUGUUGCCGGGCGUAGUGGUGAUGUGGGCUG